UGUUGAAGAAAGAGAGCACAAGCUUUUAUUUCUCCUUUAUAGCUUUGAGAGGGCCUGGCUCCUAGGGAAAUUCCAGAAGAAUUCAAAACAUCAACAGUGACUUCCAAGUCAGCAGAAGCAUGUGGGGAGUGGUGGGGGGGUGGCUAAUGACAUCUUACAGCCUGUUUGUGAGCUGUCUAUAACAUGGGGACAUAGGUACAGACCCCAGACAAGGAGCAAGCAGCUGCAAGGACCAUGGCCGGUCUUUCCUCCUUGACCCUCCCCACUGCCUGGCUUCCUCCCACUUCACCCAUUGCUGCUUAGUAGCCCUCUCCAUCUAAGACCUCAUGCUGCUGAGUCCCCAUUCCCAGACCAGACUUUGCAGCUAAUGAUGUGGGAGUGGUUUCUUAUUAAUAAAGAAACUGCCUUGGCCCAUUUUAUUGGAUAGAAAAUUAGGUAGGCAGAGUAUACAGAAGAGAAUUCUGGGAGAAAGAAGGUUAGUAAAGGAGUCACCAUGAUUCUCCUGCUCCAGACAGACGCAGGUUAAGAUCCUCCCUGGUCCAGCUUGUGACGAAGCUGAAUGGCUUCCUGAAGGUCUGACUAGUUGCCAUCUCUUGGGUGAAUGGACAAGAAGUCUAAACUGGUCUGAACUAAACCACACUAAGACGUUCAUGGCUGACAACCAAGCAACAUCUAUAGCUUGGAUAAAUGUCCUCCGAAGGCUAGUGAAUUAGAGGCUUGAACUUCCGCUAAUGGUGUUCCUGGGGAGUCGUGAAACCUUUAUAAAAGGUCCUGGACCCUGGGCCUUUUUGUCUGCCUCCAGCUGCUGUGAGGCUAUCUCCAAAGGCUUUUAAGGAACCACACAGUGGGAACGACAAGAUGGCUUAGCAGGGAAAGAUGCUUACCACCAAGCCUGAUGAGCUGAGUUACAUCCCUGGAACCCACAUCCAAG